UGGUUCAAUAGAGAAAAAAAAACAAGCAAACAGUGCAGAAGAUGGUGCUAGAAGGGUAGAGUAAAAACAAUAUAUAUAUUUAUUUUGAUUUUAAUCUCCCCUUCUAGCACCAUCUUCUGCACUGUUUGCUUGUUUUUUUCCCUCUCUCUCUGAUCU
rnacentral:pre_miRNA from 1 species